ensembl:snRNA Gm24162 predicted gene, 24162
GUGCUCACUUCGGCAGCACAUAAAAUUAGAAUGAUACAGAGAAGAUUAGCAUGGCCCCUGCGCAAGGAUGACAUGAAAAUUCAUGAAGUGUACCAUAUUUUU